rnacentral:rRNA from 1 species
GAUCAUGGCUCAGGAUGAACGCUAGCGGCAGGCUUAAUCAUGCAAGUCGUGGGGCAGCAGGUUUGUAGCAAUACAGAUGCUGGCGACCGGCAAACGGGUGCGGAACACGUACAGAACCUUCCUUUGAGCGGGGAAUAGCCCAGAGAAAUUUGGAUUAAUACCCCAUAGUAUAAUGAAGUGGCAUCACUUUAUUAUUAAAGAUUUAUCACUCGAAGAUGGCUGUGCGGCUGAUUAGGUAGUUGGCGGGGUAAAGGCCCACCAAGCCUGCGAUCAGUAACUGGUGUGAGAGCACGACCAGUCACACGGGCACUGGGACACGGGCCCGACUCCUACGGGAGGCAGCAGUAAGGAAUAUUGGUCAAUGGAGGCAACUCUGAACCAGCCAUGCCGCGUGGAGGAUGAAGGUCCUCUGGAUUGUAAACUUCUUUUAUAUGGGACGAAAAAGGCUUUUCUAAGUCGUCUGACGGUACCAUAUGAAUAAGCACCGGCUAACUCCGUG